AUUGAACGCUGGCGGCAGGCCUAACACAUGCAAGUCGAGCGAGCGGCGGACGGGUGAGUCAUGUAUGGGGAUCUGCCCGCUAGAGGGGGAUAACUCCUGGAAACGGUGGCUAAUACCGCAUACUAUCGCAUGAACCCCUAUGGGAUUAGCUAGUAGGUGGGGUAAAGGCUCACCUAGGCGACUAUAUCUAGCUGAUCUGAGAGGAUGAUCAGCCACACUGGGACUGGGACACGGCCCAGACUCCUACGGGAGGCAGCAGUGGGGAAUAUUGCAAAAUGGGCGCAGGCCUGAUGCAGCCAUGCCGCGUGGAUGAAGAAGGCCUGAGGGGUGGAAAGGAGUGGCAGCGGGGAGGCGUUACCCGCAGAAGAAGCACCGGCUAACUCCGCGCCAGCAGCCGCGGUAAUAC
rnacentral:rRNA from 1 species